GACGAACGCUGGCGGCGUGCUUAACACAUGCAAGUCGAACGGAAAGGCCCUGCUUUUGUGGGGUGCUCGAGUGGCGAACGGGUGAGUAACACGUGAGUAACCUGCCCUUGACUUUGGGAUAACUUCAGGAAACUGGGGCUAAUACCGGAUAGGAGCUCCUGCUGCAUGGUGGGGGUUGGAAAGUUUCGGCGGUUGGGGAUGGACUCGCGGCUUAUCAGCUUGUUGGUGGGGUAGUGGCUUACCAAGGCUUUGACGGGUAGCCGGCCUGAGAGGGUGACCGGCCACAUUGGGCCUGAGAUACGGCCCAGACUCCUCCGGGAGGCAGCAGUGGGGAAUAUUGCACAAUGGGCGGAAGCCUGAUGCAGCAACGCCGCGUGCGGGAUGACGGCCUUCGGUUUGUAAACCGCUUUCGCCUGUGACGAAGCGUGAGUGACGGUAAUGGGUAAAGAAGCACCGGCUAACUACGUG
rnacentral:rRNA from 1 species